rnacentral:rRNA from 1 species
UACAGAGGGUGCGAGCGUUGUUCGGAAUUAUUGGGCGUAAAGGGCGCGUAGGCGGUGCGGUAAGUCACCUGUGAAAUCUCCUGGCUCAACUGGGAGCUUGCAGGCGAAACUGCCGUGCUGGAGUGUGGGAGAGGUGCGUGGAAUUCCUGGUGUAGCGGUGAAAUGCGUAGAUGUCAGGAGGAACACCUGUGGCGAAAGCGGCGCACUGGACCACAACUGACGCUGAGGCGCGAAAGCUAGGGGAGCAAACAGG